rnacentral:lncRNA from 1 species
UUAAACCAUGCAUGAUGUGCUUGUUUGAGGUCGUAAAUGGUCUGAUGAAGCUUGCACACAAAUCAGGAUGCUCUAGAUACUCCAACAGUCCAACCCUUUCGGCUAAGCUAUAUACACUUCUUUGUCAAGAUUCCAUGAAGAAAGGAAUUGGAAACAUCAAGUUGUCGAAUAUCCCAGUUAAAAGUAGGCUAAGUGUCAUUCGUACAAUGGGCAACUUGAAGACUGAAAUAAAAGUCUCAUGAAAGUCAAGGCCACUAUGUUGAUGAAAACCAAUGGAACAAGCCAUGCUUUAAGGUGCUCAAUACUCCCAUCAAGUCGCUAUUUUAGUUUAAAGACCCACUUGUUUGGAAUGACAUUCUUACCAAAGGGUUGAGGAAUUAAUAUCCAGGUUUUCCUCCGUAACAAUGCUUGAAAUAUUCAGUACAGCACACCGCUCAAGCAUAGAAAUUUCUUGAGCAUAGGAGCGGGGCUCAGUGAUCAUCUACAUGAAAAGCUCGAAAAGGGCGACGUGUAGAAUAAAACAUUUGGAAGUUUGGGAAUUCACAAGGUUUGAUGUUACGUGUCCUUGAUCAAGUUACAACAUGGUAAAGAGAAGUGAGAGGAGGUGAAUUAUGAGGUUGAGGGUCAAGGACAUUCAGAAGAGAAGGUGUAGCUUGAAGUGUAAAGGAGGCGUGAUUAUCAAUGAAAGGAAAACCUGGAAUGUAAGGUUCUGUGAAAGAUUAGUGAUAGGUGAUGAGUCAACCUCCAAAGGCGAAGAAAUUGUGGUGGAGAAGAAUGUUCAGUG